GAUGAACGCUAGCUACAGGCUUAACACAUGCAAGUCGAGGGACCGGCGCACGGGUGAGUAACACGUAUCCAACCUGCCCUUUACUCGUGGCUAGCCUUUCGCAAGAAAGAUUAAUACCCGAUAAAACGGAUGGGGAUGCGUUCCAUUAGGUUGUUGGUGAGGUAACGGCUCACCAAGCCUUCGAUGGAUAGGGGUUCUGAGAGGAAGGUCACCCAGAGUGGAACUGAGACAAGGUCCAAACUCCUACGGGCGGCAGCAGGGAGGAAUAUUGGUAAAUGGGCUCUAGCCUGAACCAGCCAAGUAGCGUGAAGGAUGAAGGCUUAUGGGUCGUAAACUUCUUUUAUAUAAGAAGAUGUAUUAUAUGAAUAAGCAACGGCUAACUACGUGCCAGCAGCCGCGGUAAUAC
rnacentral:rRNA from 1 species